rnacentral:ncRNA from 1 species
GGGCAAAGCCGCUGAAAGGCGGUGACGCAAAGCUAUGAGUCUACGGUGGGUGACCGCUAUGAUUGUCAAGCUGC